UACGGAGGAUGCAAGCGUUAUCCGGAUUCAUGGGGUUUAAAGGGUGUGUAGGCGGGUUUGUAAGUCAGUGGUGAAAUCUUGCCGCUUAACGGUAAAAUUGCCAUUGAUACUGCAGAUCUUGAAUAUGGAUGAGGUAGGCGGAAUGUGUAGUGUAGCGGUGAAAUGCAUAGAUAUUACACAGAACACCGAUUGCGAAGGCAGCUUACUAAACCAUUAUUGACGCUGAUGCACGAAAGCGUGGGGAGCAAACAGG
rnacentral:rRNA from 1 species